rnacentral:sRNA from 1 species
CUUAUUUUCUGUUUGUCUUUCCUUGGAGAACUUUGCUGUAUGAUGUUGCCUCGACUGACUGUUCCUCACGUACCUGUUUUCACGAGAAAACAGCAUCUGGGAUGAGAAGUAUGACGCGGUGGACAUGCAGGACAUGAACAACCCCCUGUCUCAUUACUGGAUCUCCUCGUCACAUAACACGUACCUUACAGGUGACCAGCUGCGGAGCGAGUCGUCCCCAGAAGCUUACAUCCGCUGCCUGCGCAUGGGCUGUCGCUGCAUUGAACUGGACUGCUGGGACGGGCCCGAUGGGAAGCCGGUCAUCUACCAUGGCUGGACGCGGACUACCAAGAUCAAGUUUGACGACGUCGUGCAGGCCAUCAAAGACCACGCCUUUGUUACCUCGAGCUUCCCAGUGAUCCUGUCCAUCGAGGAGCACUGCAGCGUGGAGCAACAGCGUCACAUGGCCAAGGCCUUCAAGGAAGUGUUUGGCGACCUGCUGCUGACGAAGCCCACGGAGGCCAGUGCUGACCAGCUGCCCUCGCCCAGCCAGCUGCGGGAGAAGAUCAUCAUCAAG